CGACACAGUGGAGCUUCAGCCAGCGGUUCUUUGUGCCCCUGCGCAAACGUUUAGCCACGGUUGAAUGAGCAGCGCUCCGUCGGGACAGAACAGCAGUGCAUCACACAACACUUGAUAACAUCCGCUGCUAAGUCUUGGCAUGAGAAAAAUGGCGAUUGGCUUGACAGCAGGAACAGUGGCCGUCUGCUCAUCCUUCUGAUCAAUAAGUGGGUUGCAGAGGUUGUGUCACAGGUUCACGCUCCUAGGAUAACGUCUCUUCAGGGUGAAAUUCUCCUCCAGAAGAGGUGACUGCAGGACUGUCAACUAUCAACAUACCAGAGCUUGUUUCAGGGUGUAAUUGUGCUUGUUUUUCCAUUCUAAAAACCAAAAAAUAAAUAACAGCAUAGCUGGUUUAGUACAAAAAGCAAUUAGUUUGACAGGUAGCCCAAGGUAUUUCCUGAGCCAUUGGUCAAGUAUUGUUUGAGGGGCUGGUUUGAGCAGCAUUAGUGUUUAUAGGGCUUGGGCGGCUUUGACGUGGCUUGAGGGCGUAGCCUGAGAGUGUCCUGCGAGACAGCCAGAUCCCUGUGCAGGUACUCAUGAGGUCACUGACAGGUCACCAGGGUUAGGUAGCUGCUCACUACAAUGGCCUGCUAAAGUAGGUCCAGUAGCCUAGCAGUCGGUUGUCCUAAAUGAUCUCCAGGGCUUUACUAU